rnacentral:lncRNA from 1 species
AAAAGAAAAGUGAUGUGAAGCAAGUCACCAAUCAUUCUGUAAAAGUUGACAGCCAACCCUGGAGCUGUUUACCCUGUGUCCAAGUCCCGGUCCAACAUCAGUCCCGCUCAUGCCAGGGUCCCUUAUGGAGCCAGAUUCUUCCAGUGGUCUUUAGAUUGCUAGGAGACCUGACACGAGCAACACUGCUGCGUGACCCGGGGAAUUGGACAGGGGAAAACACAGGCAUGCACAGUGCAGGUGCAGUGCUUCCAGUAUCUUCUACCUGGAGCUGGCUGAAUCUGGGACAUUAAAGGAAUUGAUGUAUCAGUCUCAAAGCCGAAGUUCUCCAUCAGUUCAUCAAGCCAUUAGAUUAUCGGAGAAAAGAUAAAAGUGGACAUGUUGCUAGGAGUGGAAAAACAACUUGAUAAAGUUCAGUAGCUAUUUAUUAUUUUAACCAAAUAUUCCUAAGAGGCAAAAAAUGAUCAAUAAAUACAAUCUUUUGCCUGUCAAAAUGUCAAGUUUAUAUGUGAUGGUCAAUGUUGAGGAACUGA